GACGAACGCUGGCGGCGUGCUUAACACAUGCAAGUCGAACGAUGAAGCCCAGCUUGCUGGGUGGAUUAGUGGCGAACGGGUGAGUAACACGUGGGCAACCUGCCCCAAACUCUGGGAUAACUCCUCGACAGAGGUGCUAAUACCGGAUACGAACUAGGUAGACAUCUGCACUAGUUGGAAAGUUUUUCGGUUUGGGAUGGGCCCGCGGCCUAUCAGCUUGUUGGUGGGGUAACGGCUCACCAAGGCUACGACGGGUAACCGGCCUGAGAGGGCGACCGGUCACACUGGGACUGAGACACGGCCCAGACUCCUACGGGAGGCAGCAGUGGGGAAUAUUGCGCAAUGGGCGAAAGCCUGACGCAGCGACGCCGCGUGAGGGAUGAAGGUCUUCGGAUCGUAAACCUCUUUCAGUAGGGACGAAGCGAAAGUGACGGUACCUAAAGAAGAAGCACCGGCUAACUACGUGCCAGCCGCCGCGGUAA
rnacentral:rRNA from 1 species